ensembl:lncRNA
GCUUUCUUCAUUGUAGUCAUGAUUGUAUUGUUUAACCAGUAGCUCCUCUAAGUUCACGAUGGACAGUCGGUUGACAGCAGCAGCAGGGCAGCCAUUCUCAUCCCUGCUGUUGUCUCCUCUCAAAGGACCAUAUAUGACCCACCCCAAUAGGGUCCUCACAGCGUAUGGUCCAUUGGCUUGGCUAUUGACCACCUCCCAAGGUUCCAAUGCCUUAGAAGCAUUUGUGCCUAUGAGCAGGUCAAUGCCAGAAUCUAUUUCAUGAAUCUUGACGUCCUUCAAGUAAGGCCAUUGCAUCAGGUCUUCUUGUCUGGGAAUGUUGAGCUUGGAAACAGGCAUGAUCUUAUGUGUAAAUACAUUGGGCAGUUGUAUGAAAUCAGUUUUGUCCAGACUUGAUAUCUCUAAACCUGGGAUAUGAUGACUAGUCACAGGUUUCACUUGGUUCAUUGUACGUAAAAGAAUACUAGUCUUUUGUCCUGUUACAUUCAGUCUUCUCAUCAGGCUUUCUGUGCAGAAGGUGGCUGAGCUUCCAUGGUCCAAAAACGCAUACGUCUGCAACACAGUGUCUCCUUUGGGGGUCUUCACUUGUACUGGCACAAUAGAGAAGAGACAGGCUAUUUCACCGGCCCCAAUAUGCCCACAUGUAUGAGGUGUUGCAGUAGUUGCAAAACUGCUUCCUCUUGGUCUCGGCCUCUCUCUUGCUGUGACAUAGGGUUUGACGGAUGUAGUUGUCUUAGCAUCCUGGAUGUUCCCAAAAAGUGGAUCCGACAAUAUCUUCACUUGUCUCUCCAUGAAGUCUACCAAGUCAGAGAAACUAGCUCGACGUCCAUGUUGUUCCUGGAGCUGACAUGCCCUAUUCCUCCACUUGUCUCUGAGCUUGUAAGGCAGUUUCAGAAGAAUGGUCUUCAUACUGGAAGCGACGUUCAACUCCUCCAUAUAGGUGAGUUGUUCCAUUGCAUUGCAACAACCUCUCAGGAAUAAUGUAAACGCUUGCAAUGCUUUCACGUCCUCUGGCUUAAUCGCUGGCCAGGCAAACGCUUUGUUCAUGUAUGCUGUAGCAAUCUUAUGUUCGCUACCAAAAUGUUCUUUAAGCAGUUCUUUUGCUCUUUUAUAGCCCUCAGCCGAAGACAAAUGUUGACAGCUGUGGACUAAAUCCUUUGGAUACCCUCUGGUAUAUUGCUCUAGGAAAUGCAGGCAGUCACUGUAGUCAUCAGUCUUUCUUUCCACUCCUCUCUCGAAUGCCCUGAUGAAAACUCCAUAUUGCAAGGGAUCACCAUCAUAAACGGGAAUAUCUCUUGGUGGUAAAGUAGAAGAGAGAUUGUGUUGAGCUAGAAGAGAGGUUAUGUCACUUUGCUUCUGAAUGAUGUGAUAGAUAUCACCUUGAUUAUGAUCAUUAUAUCCAGGUUGUGUUAGAGGAGUCAUAUCCUGAGCUCUAACAGAUGGUCCAUCAGCGCUUUUCUUUGGCUGAACAACCUGUUGCUGGGAAGAUGAUUCUGUUCCUGUCCGCACAUUCAGUCUUUGUUGCACUUGAUCGGGAAAAUAGGUGUUUGCAUGUGGAUUUUCUUUGACUGACCUUUUCCAUUGAACAGUUCCUUUUUCCAAAUAAGAGUUCAUUCCGUCUGACACUCUUGAGCUAUUUCUUGAUUCAAGUACAUUGAUUUUUGCAUUGGUUGCUGCCAGUUCAGUCUCUAGUUCCAGUUGUUCUUUCUUCCUUUUCAGUUGUUCUUCCUGCCUUUUCAGUUGUUCUUCCUGCCUUUUCAGUUGUUCUUCCUGAGCCUCCAGGUCGUGCAUUUUCUGCAGAGCGGCGACCCGUUCCAUGAGAGCAGCCUUUUCUGCAUGAGCUUUAAUGCGAGCAGAGGAUGUUGAAGAGGCACGUGAUGAAGAACUUGAUUUGUUGCUUGAUUUGGGUUUUGACACAUUAGAAAUACUGUCAUCCGGUCCAAUGUCAUCUGUGAUUAUAUUUUCAGCAAUGGUAUGCGUUGCAUGCCAUCCAACCUCUGAAAACCACACAUUUACAUCCUGUAUAAAACCAUCAAAAAUUGUCAUUUUUUGUUGAAACCAGUGAUUUUGCUUUUCAAGUUCAUUUUCAGGCAAUGGUAACUUCACCAAUGACUCAUGACUUCUUUUGGCAUCAUUACAGAGGUUGAUUAAUGUAACCAAGUUAGAUUGCACUUCAUUUGCAUUCCCUUUUGAUUUCAUGAGCUCU